rnacentral:rRNA from 1 species
UCGCCCUUAGUUGCUAACAGGUAAUGCUGAGAACUCUAAGGGGACUGCUUGGUUUAACCAGGAGGAAGGUGGGGAUGACGUCAAAUCCUCAUGGCCCUUACGUCUAGGGCUAGACACGUGCUACAAUGGUAGAUACAACGGGAUGCAAGCUGGUGACAGCAAGCCAAUCCCUUAAAAUCUAUCUCAGUUCGGAUUGAAGUCUGCAAUUCGACUUCAUGAAGCUGGAAUCGCUAGUAAUCGCGGAUCAGCACGCCGCGGUGAAUACGUUCCCGGGUCUU